UGACAAUAUUGUAGGAGUGUGGCUAGAUAUCCUGUUUUCUCCCUCUCUGUCAUCACUUCUCUCUGUGCCAUGAUUUUCCUCUCACUAGUGAUCAAAUAUAAAGGAAAAUUACUGGAAAGAAGGAAAAAAAGCUGCUGUGGACAUCUUCCUAAU